GUGUGUGUGUGUGUGUGUGUGUAUCUUGGGAGCCAACAAUGCAGCCCUUGUGUCCCAUCACAAAAGGACAGUGCGCCAGACAGAGAGGGGGGGUGGGAGGAGGGGACAUUCUGGAAUCAGAAACAAUGGAUUAAUCGCCUGUAAUGAUUUAAUACAGGCAAUCAGAGUCCAGGCAAGCAUAUUAAUUUGCGCAUAAAUUACCCAACAUUUAUUUUUCAGACGGGGGGGGGGGUCAGCAUGUGUGGGCAGUUGGGUUGGUUUUGUCUUUUCCCAGGGACAUGGUGAAGGGUUGCGACAGAAUGCCCCCAGCGAUUCCCAUGCUUAUCUCUGUGCCCCGAGUCACCAGGUUUCAGCUCCCCUGGUCCCUGGUCCCACACCCGACCCGCUGGCGCUGCCCGCCCGCUGCCAGCAGCAGCUUGCCACCUUCCCAAGUAGAGAAUGUUAAACCAUUACAGCAGGUCAAACAUAAUUAAGAGUAAAAUGCCCGCUUCCUCGUCAACAUGAUUUUGUAGCAUUAAUGAUAUCCAGAGAUCACAGAAUACAUAUUUGCGAUUUGUUCUCUGCAAAAUCGUCUGCGAAAAAAAUAAGGAAAAAAAUCCAUUCCGUUAAAAGGUGCUGUAAUUACAGGGAUUACAUUUUUUCUCCAAAUCGUCCUGUAUUAAUUUACUAUAACCAUAGAUAUCCACAUAAUUUACAUACACACACACAUACUGUAUGUAUGACGAGUCCUUGCUGCGCAGAUUGGAAGACACUCAAUUAAUCCAAGUUGGAAAGGUUGAGCGCGACCACUUUUUUAAUUAACGUUCAAUUAAAACCAAUUGGCAGGUUGCUGGAAUAGCAGGCGCACGGCUUUGAAGAUUGCCAUCGCAUAAUGAGUCGCUCUUUUCUUUUUUUACACUUUGGGCUCCUCCAUUUCCACUCCCUCGCUCUCCGCUGCCAGUUGCCAAUGUGCCUUAGCGAUUUAAUGAUAUGCAAAUGAAAUAUGCAUAAAACCAUUCUGCUGAAGGAUGAUUAAGCACAGAGGACAUUAGCCAGUGCCCGCCACAGUGUCUGUUGUCUCCUCUCCAUUCCGCUUCGCCCGGCGCCAACGACAGACACCACUGGAACAAAGCUCAAUACCAAUUAUAGGAGAACACUAAUAAUAUCCAAUUGAGAGAAAUUAAAUUCCAGGCAGGGUAUUUUCUCACUCCUGUUUUGUAAGAUCCACAUCCAGAGAAGUGAAGGCAAAGUCCCCAGAGCUGAGGACUGGAGCUGUAGAGAGCAGAGAGGAAAGGAGAGGAGGCAGAGACCAGGUUUUCCAGGAUAGCACUUGAAGAGACUAGCAUUGCCAAGCAUUGCAGGAGCUUUUCUCUGCUUGUUUGCGAGUAGUGUUGCAUUAUUUGAAUGCUGUCUUAUUAUAGAAGGAAGGAAAAUAUCCCCCCUUUCUCAAUCUCUCUCUCUCUCUCAAUUUCCCUCCUUUCUCCCUCCUGUUCUCUGCUGCGAGCUCUCUUUUUUUUGGUAAUCCAUUUGUGUAAUGAAGACGUGGCGCAAUUAACAUCCCCCAUGGAAUUAAAUAAAAGGCCGAUCAUCCAAACCUCAUUAGCUCCGAAAGAUUAUAAUAUCCACACGCGUUCCGCCGUGAAGGUUACGGGAAAAAACACAACAGAAUCACGAAUUAAACCGUUAAUUGUGUGUAUUUGGAUCGCAGGUUUAAGCGACCGUGGCUUAGAUGCCCAAAAAGAUGCCACCAUCCAUACCAGCCUAUCCUUACUGGUGGCAGCCUGGCUCUGACAUCUUGGUGGUGUAUGCCAAGGCAGUGUAUGAAGCACAAAGAUCUUAUAAUCCCUCCCUUUGGAUGGCUUCUUCAAUUAUUCAUAUUCCACAACCGUGCCCUGUUGUCCAACAAAAAUCCAGCAAAAGGGAAAAAAAAGUUUGGGAUAUCCAUUUGUGAUGGCCAAUGGCUGAUGUUGAUUUCUUCCUCGCUAAUUGUUGUAAUUAUUCCGGCGCAAUUAGUAAAGUUAACGAAACCCUCCAAUCUGUCUGUUUGCAGCGGCGCCUAUCCUUGGCUCUGUGCCCGAUGCCAGUGGACCUCGUGGGAACCACGGCAACGUUCUUCCGGACCCCGAAGUUGUUCCUGUCACGCAUAAAUCCCACACACCUGGAGGAAACCAUGAUGCGCGAUAAGUUUUUCUUUGGCGAAAAACAAAAAGUACAAUUUAAACGAACGCAGAGAGAAAAGUAAAUAAAUUCCUGUCUGUCCGCUGAUUAUAAUUUGUGUUGGUACUUCAUUAGUAUGCGUCCUCAUGUUUGCAGUUUUUUCUUUUUGUGUGUGUGUCUUUGUAAACAGCUGCUGUUGAGACCUUGGCACAGUCCCUCACGUCCUUUCUUCCUCCCUCCUCUCUUGUGGCUGGCAGGCAGGCAGGCGAUUGGCAGGUUGGCAGGGUCUGCGGCAUGGAGGCAGGCAGCAGUGCCCAUGGUAGACAUUCCUCACCGCAGUGGCUGCCAGCCGGCUUGAUGAGAGCUGGAGGAAAAUGGUGUGUUAGAGGAGGAGGGGGGUGGGGGGGUUGGCACAAAAACAGGCACCAGCUUCACACCCUCCCCACAGAACAGCUUGCCGCUUUGUUUUGUUUGUAAUCUUUCCCAUUCCUUUCAUUUCGUCCGUCGCGCUAAUUAACAGAGCAAACUUUUGUUGUUCUAAUUAGUCAUUUGAAGCACUUGAUGGUCUUUGUUUUGCACUUGGCUUUCUUUAUCUUUGCCAAGCGACCCGCGACGGAUGCCCGAUCGUGUUGAUUUGCUCUUGAUCGUUGUGUACCAUUUCUCGCCCCCUUACACUUUUCCGCGACAGAUGCCACCGCGUUCCCGCUGGUACACCUCUCGAAGAUUGUGGGUACCGAAUCACCGCGCUCCUCGGGCAUCCUCAGAAGCGGUGACUUUCCCGCAAAUCCGUAAACACCACCUUCCAGAUGAAGAAGACAUGUUGCCUUUUCAUCGCCUGUGUUAUCCUAGGGUGCGCCGCGACUGUCGAUGAGCAGGUUGGCAUGGCGUACGCUGCCUGGCUGGCUGGCUGGCUGGCUGGCUGGUUGCCUGGCACAGGGGGUUGUGCUUGAGAAGGGAGAGCAAGAGAGCGAGAGAGAGAGAGGCGCUUCUUUUUGUCCCACCCCUCAGUCGUCUCUAGGACAACACCACAAGCUGCAAGUUUCUCUGUGUUGGUUGUUCUCAAAUUUCCACUUCCCCCACCAGUCCCUUGUGGCAGAGCCCAUUUCCUUCAUCUCCCCUGGUCCCUGGCUCAUUCGCCAUCCCCCUGGCAUCCUGCGCUGUGGGCCACCUAUCGUCUUUUGUUUUUUGUUUUCAAACCGAUACCUCCUCCCCCCACUCCUUGCCACCAUGCUAUGCCAAGCGCUCCAUCCCAACCCCCAAGGUGUCCCCUGAAAUUCCUCCAGGUGCGCCGCUCUUCUCUUCCCAUCAUCUGAAGGCUCCUUUCUUCUGUAAUCUGGGGCAGCAGAUGUUCUCCUCUUCUCCUCUGCGGGGGCAUUGACUUGACAUUGAGCCUUGUCUCCAGAACCCUAUCCGCAUCCGCACUCAAACUUCUACUAUUUGUAAAACACCCACC
rnacentral:lncRNA from 1 species